GUGGCUGUAGCUCAGUGGCAGAGCACUUGUCUAGUAUGCAUGAGGCACUGGGUUGGAUCCUCAGAACCAUG
rnacentral:tRNA from 1 species